ensembl:lncRNA
UCCAGUACAGCUCGAGUUUUAAUCCCAGAGAAGUGAAAUGCAACAUUUUUCGAGUUGGUAAUAACAUCCAGAGACAGAAGUCCAAGCCCCCUACUCGGUAAAGUCAUUUGUGUUUAAGGCACUCUGCAAAACCAGCUUUCCUCUCUCUCUGAUUUUCCCCACGCGGCAGCAGAAUACCUGGUUUGGUCUGUUCUCCAUAGUGACAUUCGUCCAUCCUGGCUCCUCCCGCCCUCUCCAGGAGCUGGAAACGGCAAAUCCAGCGGGAGAAGCACCAGGAGGCCGGCUCAGUAAACAGGGACGGGCAGGGGAGGGAGCACGACUCCAAGCUUCUGCAGGGAGAGGGCGAGCACCGGGUGCCCUCCCUGCAGGCACCGGUGUGGUUCCCCUUGCUUCCCCUCCCUCUCCAAAAGGGGAUGGGACCCUGGGGACCCACAAGCAUCCCUCCCCAGAGGUGCUCCCAGCAGCACCCCAAAGUGCAGGGGGCUGGGUGUGGGGGAGACCCAGCUGCCCCCACUGUGCAGCAGAAAUGAGCCCUUCCCCCCCCCCCCCCCCGACUUCCAGUUGUCAAUAAAUACCAAUAAAUAAAUAAAUAAAUAGAUAAAUAGGUAAAUAAAUAAGUGACCCGAGGAUGGGAAGGGGCACCCCAAGGCUCAGGGCACAGGGAGCGUGAGGGUGGGCAUUUCCAUGAGCUGCCCCUCCCUGAGAUAACGGGGUGCUGCUGGGGAAGGGGGGCACAGGGAAAGCAUCCCAUGGGGUGAAGCCCAGGGGUCUGAGUGUUCAUCCAGCUGCAGGGAACGAGCCAAACUCAGACUCCUACAUGGGAACUCUCCCCCACCACAUUCCCUCCUUCCUCUGAGCACCAACAGCCCCAGAGCUCCAUCUCCACCCAGGUGUGAACACACACCUUUUCCAACAUGCAAAAUGCCUGCACGUUUCUGUAAAUGCUGUUUGCAUGUGUUUCUUUGCAAACAAUUUUUGCAAACUUUUUUUUUCUCUUCUUUUUUAACGGGGAAAUGCCUACAAAGACAACCCAUGCACAAAACCCAGUUAAGUGCAUGAAAUCCAGCUGUCAGAGGAGUGGGAGUGGGAGCCUGGCAGAAGCCUGGAGAGGUGAACACAGGCACGGCCCCGGGGCUCAGCCAACACCUGCCUGCAGGCUGGGGCAGCCCUGGGGCGUCAGGCACACAGCUACAGCCAGGCACGGAGCCUGACCCUGGCACCAGGAUGUUGCAGACAUUCAUGGACAGAAAUUCAGCUACUGCUGUCUCAGUGUCAUGGCACCAGCCAUGUGCCAAGGCUCAGACUGGCCAGCAAAUCCCAAAAGGUGGUGAUGCUGAAUUCAACACCAUCCCUGCAGCAGUUUCCCCACUCUCCCAGACACCGGAGCCACGGUGGUGCCACAGCAGCUCCCUGGGCUGACAGCAGCAUGCAGCCACUUCCCAUGGGUUCUGGGGAGCUGGCACACACAGCCUCUGGACACAGCAUCCUCUCCCAGCAGGAAGCCCACCUUGGAGCUGCCUGUUUGUUGGGGAACCCCUUCCUCCGGCAUUUUAGCUCUGAUGCUGCCAGAGAUGUUUCUGUCCCCCUGGGUCAAAAGUAUACACCUGCCUCACUUCAAAACAAAAGGUACUUACCCCUCCUCCCCCAGUCCUUAAGGAAAAUUAUAUUUCAAGUUUCUAGCCCCUCUCCACACACACUUUUUGAGAAACAAAACAUCAGCGAUGGCAAAAGCUGCCAUCGGUCCCACACCAGGACAAAACCACAGUCUCACAAGAGCAGGACAUCUUCCCAUACCAGCAAGCUCCCUGUGGGAGCUCUGCUGCAGAAAACACAGCAAACCAAAGCUCAAAGCCCUCUCUCCCUCCAAACCUGCCUCACAGUGAGGCUGUAGCCCCUGCAGAACCCUGACAUAGGCACGGAAAGCAGCAGGUUCCCAGCCCAGCGGGAGGCCGGGCAGGAAGAGCAGGAAUGUUGCACCAAGGCAUCCAAAGGAAACGCUCCCAGAGGAAAAAUAAAUAAAGAACUGGAUCAGCAGCAAACACCACUGAGGGCAAUAAAUAGCACGGGGAUUUCACAGGGAUUUUUGGUCUAAGAUGCCUCGGGAGCCCCUGUGCUGGCAGGGCCUGGGGUGCACAGAACUGUCACCCAGCACGCCUCCCCACGCUGUCCUGCCAGUGGGAUAGCACAUGGACCUUCCCAGCAGGAAUGACCUGCAUUCCCAGGGCAGCACAACCUCCCCACAGCGUGAAGAAGGCAGGGAUGCGAGCUCAAGGAGCUGCAGGGCUGCUGCUGGGGAAGACAGAGCAGAGAGAGCAGCAAAAGCUGUAACCACCUGCCCAGAAGUGAUGGAGCACGCAGAGCAGCAGCAGCACAGCCAUGGUUUAUGCCUCUGCUGCAACUCCAGGGUGAGAUCCUGGGAACUGCCAGCUGCAUCCCACAGCAAGUGCUGCCCCACGGGCCAGCCAAUGCCAGCCAUCCAGGCAGCAAGGAGUGAGGAGAAAGGCAAGUAAAUCCCCCUGUGACCCCUCCCAAGCAUGGCAGCAGCAGGAGGCAGCCCCCAGGCAGCACAUUCACCUCCUUCCCAGGCAAACCCAGGCCUGCCCUGAACAGCCUCCACUCACAUCCCUGCCUUCCACAGAGCUUGGGGAGGUACCACAAAGUGUGCUAGCCCCUCCACUGGUGG